rnacentral:rRNA from 1 species
UACGUAGGGGGCAAGCGUUGUCCGGAUUUAUUGGGCGUAAAGAGCUCGUAGGCGGCUUGUCGCGUCGUCCGUGAAAACCUGCGGCUCAACUGCAGGCUGGCGGUCGAUACGGGCAAGCUGGAGUUCGGUAGGGGAGACUGGAAUUCCUGGUGUAGCGGUGAAAUGCGCAGAUAUCAGGAGGAACACCGGUGGCGAAGGCGGGUCUCUGGGCCGAUACUGACGCUGAGGAGCGAAAGCGUGGGGAGCGAACAGG